rnacentral:rRNA from 1 species
UACGUAGGGUGCAAGCGUUAAUCGGAAUUACUGGGCGUAAAGCGUGCGCAGGCGGUGAUGUAAGACAGUUGUGAAAUCCCCGGGCUCAACCUGGGAACUGCAUCUGUGACUGCAUCGCUGGAGUGCGGCAGAGGGGGAUGGAAUUCCGCGUGUAGCAGUGAAAUGCGUAGGUAUGCGGAGGAACACCGAUGGCGAAGGCAAUCCCCUGGGCCUGCACUGACGCUCAUGCACGAAAGCGUGGGGAGCAAACAGG